UACGUAGGGUGCGAGCGUUGUCCGGAAUCACUGGGCGUAAAGGGCGCGUAGGUGGCGCAGGAAGUCAACGGUGAAAGUUCGGGGCUCAACCCUGAAUCGGCCGUCGAUACUCCUGGGCUCGAGCACUGUAGAGGCAGAUGGGAAUUCCGGGUGUAGCGGUGGAAUGCGUAGAGAUCCGGAAGAACACCGGUGGCGAAGGCGGUCUGCUGGGCAG
rnacentral:rRNA from 1 species